GACGAACGCUGGCGGCGUGCUUAACACAUGCAAGUCGAACGGAAAGGCCCUGCUUUUGUGGGGUGCUCGAGUGGCGAACGGGUGAGUAACACGUGAGUAACCUGCCCUUGACUUUGGGAUAACUUCAGGUAACUGGGGCUAAUACCGGAUAGGAGCUCCUGCUGCAUGGUGGGGGUUGGAAAGUUUCGGCGGUUGGGGAUGGACUCGCGGCUUAUCAGCUUGUUGGUGGGGUAGUGGCUUACCAAGGCCUUGACGGGUAGCCGGCCUGAGAGGGUGACCGGCCACAUUGGGACUGAGAUACGGCCCAGACUCCUACGGGAGGCAGCAGUGGGGAAUAUUGCACAAUGGGCGGAAGCCUGAUGCAGCAACGCCGCGUGCGGGAUGACGGCCUUCGGGUUGUAAACCGCUUUCGCCUGUGACGAAGCGUGAGUGACGGUAAUGGGUAAAGAAGCACCGGCUAACUACGUG
rnacentral:rRNA from 1 species